rnacentral:misc_RNA from 1 species
AAAGUCGUAACAAGGUAACCGUAGGUGAACCUGCGGUUGGAUCAUUAAAAAAUGCGGUCAAGGCCCGCGCCCCUUGGGGCGCGGGCGGCGACUAAUCCACUUUGUGAACCGUGACUGUUUUUUUGUGAAAGGGUCGAGGGCUGAGGCAACUCUCCCCCCGCCCCGGGUUCGCCGUGGAGUCGCUGCGUUCGCGCGGCGCCUCGCGGCGGGCCGCACAAACUCGAAUCAAUCCUUAUUAUCACUCUGAUGCAAAACGAAAAACAUAAUGAGAAACAACUUUAGACAACGGAUCUCUUGGCUCUC